UGCAAGUCGAACGCACUCUCGUUUAGAUUGAAGGAGCUUGCUCCUGAUUGAUAAACAUUUGAGUGAGUGGCGGACGGGUGAGUAACACGUGGGUAACCUGCCCUAAAGUGGGGGAUAACAUUUGGAAACAGAUGCUAAUACCGCAUAAAACCUAACACCGCAUGGUGUAGGGUUGAAAGAUGGUUUCGGCUAUCACUUUAGGAUGGACCCGCGGUGCAUUAGUUAGUUGGUGAGGUAAAGGCUCACCAAGACCGUGAUGCAUAGCCGACCUGAGAGGGUAAUUGGCCACACUGGGACUGAGACACGGCCCAGACUCCUACGGGAGGCAGCAGUAGGGAAUCUUCCACAAUGGACGAAAGUCUGAUGGAGCAACGCCGCGUGAGUGAAGAAGGUUUUCGGAUCGUAAAACUCUGUUGUUGGAGAAGAAUGUAUCCGAUAGUAACUGAUCAGGUAGUGACGGUAUCCAACCAGAAAGCCACGGCUAACUACGUGCCAGCAGCCGCGGUAAUACGUAGGUGGCAAGCGUUGUCCGGAUUUAUUGGGCGUAAAGCGAGCGCAGGCGGUUUCUUAAGUCUGAUGUGAAAGCCUUCGGCUCAACCGAAGAAGUGCAUCGGAAACUGGGAAACUUGAGUGCAGAAGAGGACAGUGGAACUCCAUGUGUAGCGGUGAAAUGCGUAGAUAUAUGGAAGAACACCAGUGGCGAA
rnacentral:rRNA from 1 species